rnacentral:rRNA from 1 species
GACGAACGCUGGCGGCGUGCUUAACACAUGCAAGUCAAGGGGGCCCGCAAGGGUAACCGGCGAACGGGUGCGUAACACGUGAGCGACCUGCCGAUCUGCGGGGGAUAGCCGGCCCAACGGCCGGGUAAUACCGCAUACGCUUGGUUUGGGGCAUCCCUUUCCAAGGAAACUUCCGGGGCGGAUCGAGGGGCUCGCGGCCUAUCAGCUAGUUGGCGGGGUAACGGCCCACCAAGGCGGUGACGGGUAGCUGGUCUGAGAGGAUGGCCAGCCACAUUGGGACUGAGAAACGGCCCAGACUCCUACGGGAGGCAGCAGUGGGGAAUAUUGCGCAAUGGCCGCAAGGCUGACGCAGCGACGCCGCGUGUGGGAGGACGCCUUUCGGGGUGUAAACCACUGUUGCCCGGGACGAACAACGAGUUUCGACUCGUCUGACGGUACCGGGUGAGGAAGCACCGGCUAACUCCGUGCCAGCAGCCGCGGUAAUACGGAGGGUGCGAGCGUUGUCCGGAAUCACUGGGCGUAAAGGGCGCGUAGGCGGUGCGGUAAGCGUGCGGUGAAAGCCCGGGGCUCAACCCCGGGUCGGCCGUGCGAACUGCUGGACUGGAGCAUGUCAGAGGCGGGUGGAAUUCCGGGUGUAGCGGUGGAAUGCGUAGAGAUCCGGAAGAACACCGGUGGCGAAGGCGGCCCGCUGGACAUAGCUGACGCUGAGGCGCGACAGCGUGGGGAGCAAACAGGAUUAGAUACCCUGGUAGUCCACGCCGUAAACGAUGGGUACUAGGUGCUUGGGGGAGCGACCCCCUGGGUGCCGGCGCUAACGCAUUAAGUAC